ensembl:rRNA 5_8S_rRNA 5.8S ribosomal RNA
AACUCUUAGAGAUGCAUCACUCGUGCAUCGAUGAAGAAUGCAGCUAGCUGUGAUAAUUAAUGUAAUUGCAGAACAUUGAUCAUCGACACUUUGAAUACACUUGCAGCCCCGGGAUCCUGCCAUAGCUACACAUGUCUGAGAAUCG